AGUCAAUAGAUACCCAGGUAGUCCACGCCCUAAACGAUGCAUAUUUGGUGUGGGCAGUUCAGUCUGUCCGUGCCGGAGCUAACGCGUUAAACUAUGCCGCCUGGGGUAGUACAGUCGCAAGGCUGAAACUCAAACGGAAUUGACGGGGGUCCCGGCACAAGCGGUGGAGCAUGUGGUUCAAUUCGACGCAACGCGAAGAACCUUACCUGGGCUCGAACGGCUGGUCAACGGAGGUGGAAACCAUCUUUACCCCGGCAAGGGGGUUCCAGUCGAGGUGCUGCAUGGCUGUCGUCAGCUCGUGUCGUGAGAUGUUGGGUUAAACGUCCCGCAACGAGCGCAACCCGUUGUCCUGUGUUGCCAUCAUUCAGUUGGG
rnacentral:rRNA from 1 species